CAGAGGAAUAUGAGCAGCUUAUUGUUAAUUUUGGGCAUUUUGUCAAACGUGGCAUUCCCACCCUGUGAAGCUGCUCCUUCUCUCCUUUUUUGGCAGAAGUUCGUCUCUUUGCAGUUCAAUGAGUCUGCCUGGAUUGGUCUAAGUGAUGAAAAUGAUGAGGGCAUCUGGCAGUGGUCCGAUGGGUCCAGAUUAACAAUACAGUUCUGGGAUGUUGGGAGUCCUACCAUCCUGAAGAAGAAUGGAGAAAUGGAGCGAGACUGCGCUUACAUAAGCCCUUCCUCUGGCGUAUUUAACUGGAAGGAUGACAAUUGCCACACACUUAAGCAAUGGGUUUGUAAGGAGAUCAUAGUGAUGGAAGAUUUAGAAUAUUUAAGCCAACCCUAAUACUUGAAGCCACCCUAGAUGUGAACACAGUUUUUGUUUUUCUCCAUCUGAAACAGUAAAAUAAUGAAAGCUC